rnacentral:rRNA from 1 species
GACGAACGCUGGCGGCGUGCCUAAUACAUGCAAGUCGAGCGAUGAAGGAGAUACUUGCAUCUUUUGAAGAGCGGCGAACGGGUGAGUAACGCGUGGGGAAUCUGCCAAUGAGUGGGGGACAACAUUUGGAAACGAAUGCUAAUACCGCAUAAAAUCUAUUGAGACAUCUCAAGAGAUUGAAAGGAACAAUUGUUUCGCUCGUUGAUGAUCCCGCGUUGUAUUAGCUAGUUGGUGAGGUAAGGGCUCACCAAGGCGAUGAUACAUAGCCGACCUGAGAGGGUGAUCGGCAACAUUGGGACUGAGACACGGCCCAAACUCCUACGGGAGGCAGCAGUAGGGAAUCUUCGGCAAUGGACGAAAGUCUGACCGAGCAACGCCGCGUGAGUGAAGAAGGUUUUCGGAUCGUAAAGCUCUGUUGUUGUUAAAGAACGUUGAUGAGAGUGGAAAGUUCAUCAAGUGACGGUAAACAACCAGAAAGGGACGGCUAACUACGUGCCAGCCGCCGCGGUAA